AUUGAACGCUGGCGGCAUGCCUUACACAUGCAAGUCGAACGGCAGCACGGAGCUUGCUCUGGUGGCGAGUGGUGAACGGGUGAGUAAUAUAUCGGAACGUACCCUAGAGUGGGGGAUAACGUAGCGAAAGUUACGCUAAUACCGCAUACGAUCUAAGGAUGAAAGUGGGGGAUCGCAAGACCUCAUGCUCGUGGAGCGGCCGAUAUCUGAUUAGCUAGUUGGUAGGGUAAAAGCCUACCAAGGCAUCGAUCAGUAGCUGGUCUGAGAGGACGACCAGCCACACUGGAACUGAGACACGGUCCAGACUCCUACGGGAGGCAGCAGUGGGGAAUUUUGGACAAUGGGCGAAAGCCUGAUCCAGCAAUGCCGCGUGAGUGAAGAAGGCCUUCGGGUUGUAAAGCUCUUUUGUCAGGGAAGAAACGGUGAGAGCUAAUAUCUCUUGCUAAUGACGGUACCUGAAGAAUAAGCACCGGCUAACUACGUGCCAGCAGCCGCGGUAAUACGUAGGGUGCAAGCGUUAAUCGGAAUUACUGGGCGUAAAGCGUGCGCAGGCGGUUUUGUAAGUCUGAUGUGAAAUCCCCGGGCUCAACCUGGGAAUUGCAUUGGAGACUGCAAGGCUAGAAUCUGGCAGAGGGGGGUAGAAUUCCACGUGUAGCAGUGGAAUGCGUAGAUAUGUGGAGGAACACCGAUGGCGAAGGCAGCCCCCUGGGUCAAGAUUGACGCUCAUGCACGAAAGCGUGGGGAGCAAACAGGAUUAGAUACCCUGGUAGUCCACGCCCUAAACGAUGUCUACUAGUUGUCGGGUCUUAAUUGACUUGGUAACGCAGCUAACGCGUGAAGUAGACCGCCUGGGGAGUACGGUCGCAAGAUUAAAACUCAAAGGAAUUGACGGGGACCCGCACAAGCGGUGGAUGAUGUGGAUUAAUUCGAUGCAACGCGAAAAACCUUACCUACCCUUGACAUGGCUGGAAUCCUCGAGAGAUUGAGGAGUGCUCGAAAGAGAACCAGUACACAGGUGCUGCAUGGCUGUCGUCAGCUCGUGUCGUGAGAUGUUGGGUUAAGUCCCGCAACGAGCGCAACCCUUGUCAUUAGUUGCUACGAAAGGGCACUCUAAUGAGACUGCCGGUGACAAACCGGAGGAAGGUGGGGAUGACGUCAAGUCCUCAUGGCCCUUAUGGGUAGGGCUUCACACGUCAUACAACGGUACAUACAGAGCGCCGCCAACCCGCGAGGGGGAGCUAAUCGCAGAAAGUGUAUCGUAGUCCGGAUUGUAGUCUGCAACUCGACUGCAUGAAGUUGGAAUCGCUAGUAAUCGCGGAUCAGCAUGUCGCGGUGAAUACGUUCCCGGGUCU
rnacentral:rRNA from 1 species